rnacentral:rRNA from 1 species
GACGAACGCUGGCGGCGUGCCUAAUACAUGCAAGUCGAGCGCAGGAAACUGACGGAACUCUUCGGAGGGAAGGCAGUGGAAUGAGCGGCGGACGGGUGAGUAACACGUAAGGAACCUGCCUCAAGGAUUGGGAUAACUCCGAGAAAUCGGAGCUAAUACCGGAUAGUUCAACGGACCGCAUGGUCCGCUGAUGAAAGGCGCUCCGGCGUCACCUUGAGAUGGCCUUGCGGUGCAUUAGCUAGUUGGUGGGGUAACGGCCCACCAAGGCGACGGUGCAUAGCCGACCUGCGAGGGUGAUCGGCCACACUCGGACUGAGACACGGCCCAGACUCCGACGGGAGGCAGCAGUAGGGAAUCUUCCACAAUGGACGAAAGUCUGAUGGAGCAACGCCGCGUGAGUGAUGAAGGUUUUCGGAUCGUAAAACUCUGUUGUAAGGGAAGAACACGUACGAGAGGGAAUGCUCGUACCUUGACGGUACCUUACGAGAAAGCCACGGCUAACUACGUGCCAGCCGCCGCAGUAAGAC